rnacentral:misc_RNA from 1 species
UAAAAUAAUGGUUCUCCAAGUUGAGUUUUGAAUCAUUCUUAUGGUUUAAAAUUCCUUGGAGAAUUCCAAUCACCCUUUGUGCACUGUAAAUGUUUUUUCGAGUACUUUUAAGUACUCGACCAUAUUUAAAACCCUAUUUUAAUUUUGUCUGAAUUUUUAUGAAAAUAAAAAAAUA